rnacentral:tRNA from 1 species
AGGGUUGUGGCUCAGUGGUAGAGUGCCUGCCUAGCAUGCAUGAGGCACUAGGUUUGAUCCCUGGCACCACAU